rnacentral:rRNA from 1 species
UACAGAGGGUGCAAGCGUUAAUCGGAAUUACUGGGCGUAAAGCGUGCGCAGACGGUUGCGUAAGUCAGAUGUGAAAGCCCCGGGCUCAACCUGGGAAUUGCAUUUGAGACUGCGUAGCUAGGGUGCGGAAGAGGGAAGCGGAAUUUCCGGUGUAGCGGUGAAAUGACGUAGAUAUCGGAAGGAACACCAGUGGCGAAAGCGGCUUCCUGGUCCAGCACCGACGUCAGGCACGAAAGCGUGGGGAGCAAACAGG